rnacentral:lncRNA from 1 species
UUUCUUAGUAAUGCCAUCAUCAUUAUUACCUAUUGAAUAGUAUUGAAAAACUCAGUAAUUAUUUCACAAAGUUUCUGUGGUUUUUAAAUUUGGUGCACCCUAAGUUCCUACAAAUUCAUCUAUUUUUUCCUCAUGUAUAAUUGAGACUUUGGCUGGGUAUAGAAUUCAAAAAUUAAAAUUAUUGAAGCAUUACUCUAUCGUCUUCAUUGUAGAUCAUCAUAUGCUUAGUAUCAGUUUCAUUUUCAUUCUCUUCUUAGAUAAUAUUGCUGUAGUUGUUUCUAUUCAGGAGAAUUUUUACUCUAUUCUUGAGUGCAGAUAUGCCAGCAGCCAAUGAUUGUGUGUUCAUCUUUUUAUGCGUUUGUUCCUGUUGUCACUUUUAUUCUAAAAUUGGUGUCUUUCUUUUACUUAUGCCUAUUUCCUCAUAUCCAUUGAUUCAUUUUUCUCUUUUUAGAUUUCCUAAUAAAUGCACAAUAAAUAUUUCAGAUCUCAGCUA